AACGAACGCUGGCGGCAGGCCUAACACAUGCAAGUCGAGCGAGGACUUCGGUUCUAGCGGCGGACGGGGGAGUAACGCGUGGGAAUGUGCCCUUCUCUACGGAAUAGCCCAGGGAAACAGGGAUUAAUACCGCAUACGCCCUAAUGGGGUAAGACUGUUCGGGGAAGGCUCGGCCCGCGUUGGAUUCGGUGGUUGGUGGGGUACUGGCAUGCCAAGCGGACGAUCCAUAGCUGGUUGGGGAGGAUGCUCAGCCACACUGGGACUGCGACACGGCCCAGACUCGUACGCGAGGGUGCAGUGUAGAAUCUGAGAGACUGGGGCCUAACCUGACCCCGCCAUGUCGCGUGAGUGAUGAAGGCCGUAGUGUUGUAAAGCUCUUUGAGCUGGGAAGAUAAUGACGGUACCAGCAGAAGAAGCCCCGGCUAACUCCGUG
rnacentral:rRNA from 1 species